rfam:Heligmosomoides polygyrus genome assembly, scaffold: HPBE_scaffold0004796
GCGAUGGUGGUGUAGGGUGUAGCAUCGCUACCCGGAAAGAAGAAGGUGCGGGUUCGAGUCCCGCCUGGCGCA